rnacentral:rRNA from 1 species
CCUGUUUCCGCCUGAGAACUACGAGCACAAACGCUUAAAACUCUAAGGACUUGGCGGUGCCNUAAACCCACCUAGAGGAGCCUGUUCUAUAAUCGAUAAUCCACGAUCUACCCAACCACCCCUUGCCCAAACANGCCUACAUACCUGCCGUCUGCCAGCCCACCUAAAUGAGAGACCAAAAGUGAGCUCAAUAGUCGUCCCCACUAACAAGACAGGUCAAGGUAUAGCCCAUGGGGUGGAAGAAAUGGGCUACAUUUUCUAAUAUAGAAUAAACGAAAAAGGACAUGAAACCCGUCCUUGGCAGGAGGAUUUAGCAUAAAAUAGGACCAUACUUUUCAAGCCUAUUUUACAACGGGCCU